rnacentral:rRNA from 1 species
UACGUAGGGUGCAAGCGUUAAUCGGAAUUACUGGGCGUAAAGCGUGCGCAGGCGGUUUUGUAAGUUUGUCGUGAAAUCCCCGGGCUCAACCUGGGAAUGGCGAUGAAGACUGCAAGGCUAGAAUCUGGCAGAGGGGGGUAGAAUUCCACGUGUAGCAGUGAAAUGCGUAGAUAUGUGGAGGAAUACCGAUGGCGAAGGCAGCCCCCUGGGAUAACACUGACGCUCAUGCACGAAAGCGUGGGGAGCAAACAGG